rnacentral:lncRNA from 1 species
CCACCCGCUUCAGCCUCCCAAAGUGGUGGGAUUAUAAGUGUGAGCCACCACGCCCGGCCUAAACUGAAUUUUAACCUAAACAAUGCUAUCCAUGAAACCAAAAGUCUUGGUGAGCUGGCACACAUUAAGCACUUAACUAUUAAAGAAAAUUUUAAAAGUUCAUAGAUGACCCCAAAGCAUCUCCAUUUGUAUCAUAUUAUAUUAGAGAGCAGCUAUACCAGACAAUAUCCUCCAUUUGGCUAACUAGAAAAUCGUUUGACUCAUUGCUUCAAAUUUUUCAUAUUUAUCAAGUACUAUCUCCUUUUUCCAAGCCUAGGGGUUUCUGUCAUCUGCAAUUAUCAUGAUGUUAAUCUGAAAGUCAUUAACCUUGGUUACUUAGGUAUUGCCAGCAUAACAAACAUUUGUAUUCUUUUUGCCAUAGCCACAUGCCAAACAUGAAUGUGCUUGUGCUUGUCCUUUUAUUUUUGGAUCAUGGUUUUUUCUUUUUCUUUUUUUUCUUUUUAAAUUUAGCCUCAACUGAAGCAAUUGUAUCUAUGAAAUCAGAGGUUCAAGGAGCUGGUUAUAUAUUUCUAGCAUGCAUUAAAUAUGUAGCUAUUAUGUAAAAUAAAAUGUCAACCAAACACAUCUCCAUGUGUGCCCCAUUCUUAAGGUGGGCUGCUGUUCCAAGCAUAACCCUGUUACCAUUCAGCUGGUUAGGAAAUUCUUUGAUUCAUUGCUUCAUAUUCACCAAGCGUUACUCCUUUUGUCCAAGUCUUGAGAUCCCAUGAAAGCAUAGACAGGUCAAAGCCAUCGUCCUAGGUGACAGAGUGAAUCCCAGAACCCAGGAGUCCUGGUCCCUGAUUCUGCCUCGAGGCCACACAGGAUGCCCAGCCCCAUCCUGACCUAUCUCCUGGCUCAUUAAAGGCCUUGGGGCUUGGACCAGGUCUUUCAUUUUUCCAUCCUUCUCUCUUUCCUCUCUAGCACUCGAAGAUACAAAAAGGGUUAACAUCCAUCUCCCACUCUUCUUGACACCUCCCACCCUGGGUUGCUGUGGGUAAUCGCCAGCUUCCCUUGAGGAAUGACCUUGCCCCCCACCGUGGGGGCUAUCAAGAGACAGAUAUAAACACCUCAAAGUUCCCAGCUAGCUCUCUUAAUUGGCACCUUUCUGUUCUUAAAAUUCACCAACUGCAAAGAGCGCAGACCUUAAGUGUACCAUUUGCUGAGUUUUGACAAACACUUGCACUUGAACAAUGCACAUCCAUAUAAUGAUACAGAAUUAAUUUCCAUCUCCCUAGAAAAUACCCUAAUUCCCCUUCCCGAUAAAUCCCCAAAGCCCUAGAGGCAACACUGUUACUACUUGUUUUUUUGUUUUUUUGUUUUUUUUUUUUACCACCACAGAUUAGUUUGGUUAUUGUAAAACUUCAUAUAAGUGGAAGUGCACAAAUGGACCCUUUGUGUAAGGAUUUCACUCAGCAGAAAACUUAGAGAGUCAUCCAUGUGUUGUGUUUAUCACUAGUUUGUUUUAAAGGGAAUGAUCAACAGUAAAAAAAAAAAAUCCUAUUAAAACGUGGGCAAAGGACAUGAAUAGACAUUUCUCAAAAGGGGACAUACAAAUGGCUAACAGGUAUAUGAAAAAUACUCAGCAUCACUAAUCAGAGAAACACAGAUCAAAGCCACAACAAGAUACUGUCUUACCCCAGUUAGAAAGGCAAUUGUUAAUAAAACAAAACAAAACAAACCCAACAACAACAAAAACAGAUGCUGGUGAGGAUACAGGGAAAAGGGAACUCUUAUACACUGUUGAUUGGGAUGUAAAUUAGGACAGCUACUAUGAAAAACAGUAUAGAGAUUUCUCAAAAAACCAAAAGUGGAACUAUCACAGGAUCCAGCAAUCCCACUACUGGACAUUUAGCCAAAGGAAAGGAAAUCAGUAUAUCAACAAGAUACCUGUGCUCCUGUGUUUACUGCAGCACCAUUUACAAUAGUAAAGAUAUGAAAUCAACCUAAGUGUCUAUCAAUGGACGAAUGAGGAAAAUGUGGUAUAUAUACACAAUGGAAUAUUAUUCAGCCAUAAAAGAGAAUGAAAUCGGCCGGGCGCAGUGGCUCAUGCCUGUAAUCCCAGCACUUUGGGAGGCCAAGGCGGGCAGAUCACUUGAGAUCAGGAGUUCAAAAGCAGCCUGGCCAACAUGGUGAAACCCCAUCUCUACUAAAAAUACAAAAAAAUUAGCCAGGCGUGAUGGUGGGUACCUGUAAUCCCAGCUGCUUGGGAGGCUGAGG